ACGAGUGGCGGACGGGUGAGUAACACCUUUGUAACCUGCCCAGAAGCGGGGGACAACAUUUGGAAACAGAUGCUAAUACCGCAUAACAACGUUGUUCGCAUGAACAACGCUUAAAAGAUGGCUUCUCGCUAUCACUUCUGGAUGGACCUGCGGUGCAUUAGCUUGUUGGUGGGGUAACGGCCUACCAAGGCGAUGAUGCAUAGCCGAGUUGAGAGACUGAUCGGCCACAAUGGGACUGAGACACGGCCCAUACUCCUACGGGAGGCAGCAGUAGGGAAUCUUCCACAAUGGGCGCAAGCCUGAUGGAGCAACACCGCGUGAGUGAAGAAGGGCUUCGGCUCGUAAAGCUCUGUUGUUAAAGAAGAACACGUAUGAGAGUAACUGUUCAUACGUUGACGGUAUUUAACCAGAAAGUCACGGCUAACUACGUGCCAGCAGCCGCGGUAAUACGUAGGUGGCAAGCGUUAUCCGGAUUUAUUGGGCGUAAAGAGAGUGCAGGCGGUUUUCUAAGUCUGAUGUGAAAGCCUUCGGCUUAACCGGAGAAGUGCAUCGGAAACUGGAUAACUUGAGUGCGGAAGAGGGUAGUGGAACUCCAUGUGUAGCGGUGGAAUGCGUAAAUAUAUGGAAGAACACCAGUGGCGAAGGCGGCUACCUGGUCUGCAACUGACGCU
rnacentral:rRNA from 1 species